rnacentral:rRNA from 3 species
GGACUACUGGGGUAUCUAAUCCCGUUUGCUCCCCUGGCUUUCGCGUCUCAGCGUCAGUAAGCGUCCAGGACCUCGCUUUCGCCACGGGCGUUCCUUCCGAUCUCAACGCAUUUCACCGCUCCACCGGAAGUUCCAGGUCCCCCUACGCCCCUCCAGGGCGGUCGUUUCGGCGCCCGUUCCCCGGUUGAGCCGGGGGAUUUCAGCGACCGACGUGCCGUCCCGCCUACACGCGCUUUAAGCCCAGUGAUUCCGAAUAACGUUCGCACGGUUCGUCUUACCGCGGCUGCUGGCAC